GCCUUCGUGGUGUAGUGGUCAGCACGCUCGACGAGUAACCGAGAGGUCCGUGGUUCGAUUCCCGGUGAAGAGA
rnacentral:tRNA from 1 species